rnacentral:lncRNA from 1 species
GAAGAAAGCCUUUGAUAUAUCUUGAUCCAUUGAUAAUUAGUAGAGAAGCAUCAUGUAAAGAUAGAUAACUUUUUAUAGUGUGCUUACUGCGUGCCAGGUGCCCUUGUAGGGACUUUGCAUAAAUUAAAUCCUUUAAUCCUCAAAAUGGUGGUAUGAAGUUAAGCCUUAUCUUUAUCCUUCUUUCAUAAUGAGGACAUCAAGGCAUGGAAGCAUGGAGAUACCCAAAUUACAUAGCAAGUACGUGGUAGUAUUGGAAUGUGAACCCAUGUUGCCUUUAAUCAUAACCACGCUGCCUAUUUUAAUAGGUAAGGUGAAGAGAAUUAUGAGUAAUUCCAGGAGUUCUGAAAAAGUAAGAAGCAUACCAAGACUCAUACCAAAGAAAGAUUGUGACCAGCUGUGUCGGAAUACAUGUGUAGAAAUUGAGGGUUGAAAGAAGAUAGAUUCACCACAUUACCCAGAUUUUCCUCAGAAAUGCUUGUCUGUGAAAUGAGCACAAGAGAUUUUUAUGCAACGUGGAGGAAAUGACCCCAGAAUAAUGAGUGGGUGAGGCGCCAUCUCAUGCAGAGACCAGUUGGAUUCAAGUCCAAGCCUAAGAUCAAUCACCUGCCCAUUCAAACUGUUUCAGUACAACUAUUGGCAGAAUUGAAGUAAGUUUUAAAACCAUUAAAAACAGUAAUUCAUCACCUUUCCCAUGUUUAUACCAAUCAAAGAAAAAAAUGGGGGAGUUAGGGCUUAGGUGGGAAA